rnacentral:rRNA from 1 species
CUACGGGCCGCUCCAGUGGGGAAUAUUGCACAAUGGGCGCAAGCCUGAUGCAGCAACGCCGCGUGAGGGAUGAAGGCCUUCGGGUUGUAAACCUCUUUUAGCAGGGAAGAAGCGAAAGUGACGGUACCUGCAGAAAAAGCACCGGCUAACUACGUGCCAGCAGCCGCGGUAAUACGUAGGGUGCAAGCGUUGUCCGGAAUUAUUGGGCGUAAAGAGCUCGUAGGCGGUUUGUCACGUCUGCUGUGAAAAUCCAAGGCUCAACCUUGGACUUGCAGUGGGUACGGGCAGGCUAGGAGUGCGGUAGGGGAGAUGGGAAUUCCUGGUGUAACGGUGGAAUGCGCAGAUAUCAGGAGGAACACCAAUGGCGAAGGCACAUCUCUGGGCCGUAACUGACGCUGAGGAGCGAAAGCGUGGGGAGCGAACAGGAUUAGAUACCCCUGUAGUC